UGAACGCUGGCGGCGUGCUUACCACAUGCAAGUCGAACGGAAAGGCCCGUGCUUGCACUGGUACUCGAGUGGCGAACGGGUGAGUAACACGUGGGUGAUCUGCCCUGCACUUCGGGAUAAGCCUGGGAAACUGGGUCUAAUACCGGAUAGGACAAUGGUUUGGAUGCCGUUGUGGAAAGUUUUUUCGGUGUGGGAUGAGCUCGCGGCCUAUCAGCUUGUUGGUGGGGUAAUGGCCUACCAAGGCGUCGACGGGUAGCCGGCCUGAGAGGGUGUACGGCCACAUUGGGACUGAGAUACGGCCCAGACUCCUACGGGAGGCAGCAGUGGGGAAUAUUGCACAAUGGGCGCAAGCCUGAUGCAGCGACGCCGCGUGGGGGAUGACGGCCUUCGGGUUGUAAACUCCUUUCGCUAGGGACGAAGCGUAUUUGUGACGGUACCUGGAGAAGAAGCACCGGCUAACUACGUG
rnacentral:rRNA from 1 species